AACGAACGCUGGCGGCAGGCCUAACACAUGCAAGUCGAGCGAAGCCUUCGGGCUUAGCGGCGGACGGGUGAGUAACGCGUGGGAACGUGCCCUUUGGUACGGAAUAGCCCCGGGAAACUGGGAGUAAUACCGUAUGUGGUCGAGAGACGAAAGAUUUAUCGCCAAAGGAUCGGCCCGCGUUGGAUUAGGUAGUUGGUGGGGUAAUGGCCUACCAAGCCGACGAUUCAUAGCUGGUUUGAGAGGAUGAUCAGCCACACUGGGACUGAGACACGGCCCAGACUCCUACGGGAGGCAGCAGUGGGGAAUCUUAGACAAUGGGGGAAACCCUGAUCUAGCCAUGCCGCGUGAUCGAUGAAGGCCUUAGGGUUGUAAAGAUCUUUCAGUGGGGAAGAUAAUGACUGUACCCACAGAAGAAGCCCCGGCUAACUCCGUGCCAGCCGCCGCAGUAAUAC
rnacentral:rRNA from 1 species